rnacentral:rRNA from 1 species
CCUACGUGAGGCAGCAGUGAGGAAUAUUGGUCAAUGGACGCAAGUCUGAACCAGCCAUGCCGCGUGCAGGAAGACGGCUCUAUGAGUUGUAAACUGCUUUUGUACGAGGGUAAACUCAGAUACGCGUAUCUUUCUGCACGUAUCGUACGAAUAAGGAUCGGCUAACUCCGUGCCAGCAGCCGCGGUAAUACGGAGGAUUCAAGCGUUAUCCGGAUUUAUUGGGUUUAAAGGGUGCGUAGGCGGUCGGAUAAGUUAGAUGUGAAAUUCCGAGGCUCAAAUUCGGAAUUGCCGCUGAUACUGUCAGGCUAGAGAGUAGUUGAGGUAGGCGGAAUGUAUGGUGUAGCGGUGAAAUGCUUAGAGAUCAUACAGAACACCGAUUGCGAAGGCAGCUUACCAAGCUACGUCUGACGUUGAGGCACGAAAGCGUGGGGAGCAAACAGGAUUAGAUACCCCAGUAGUC